rnacentral:lncRNA from 1 species
AAACAAUCUUUCCAGCCAAGCUUCCUUGGGCCAGUUGAAGUGAAACCAAGGAUUGUCCACUUAUCUCAGUAAUUAAGGCACAAAGAGACCCAUGCUGUUUGGGUCUGACUUUUCCAAAUCUGAGGGAUGAUGGUUUUAGCAAAUUCAGUGUGGACCAGAUCUUUGAUUCACUGUGGUCAUUCAGUCGUUUCUGAGUCAUUGCUGGACAGCAGAAGCAGACAGCUGAAUCACAGCUCAGAAAACCGUAAUGAGCUGAGCAGCAUUACAGCUUGUUUCGCUUAAUAUUUAUUCUUAAAACAUGACUUCAUUUGUGAUGGCUAUACUUGGAGAUCCAGAUACAAGUCCAGCGUGUUUGCUGUAACAAGUUAAUGCGAUGAAAUAUGGAAAAACCUAUUUGCCUCUGUCUUCAAAAUUUGCACAAAGCUCCUUUCUGGUGAGGAUUGCGUUGCACUGAUCUCUACACAUUUUCCUGGCAUGCAGUGCUGUUUGGCCCUUUAUGGGAUGGGCACAAAGACCCUGUGUCUACCUUCCCAGUGGGCUGCAUAAGAGACCGGGCACAGUGGAGACACAUACAAAGGAUCAUCGCUUGCUGCCACACUUGAGGCAUCUGCAUAUGAAUCUCACAUGUAGUUGAGAAAUCAUGGAUGUGGCAACUGUGAGUGUUUGAAGAAGUGAAGCAUUGCUGUACUCACAAAAUGCCAUGAAACUUGAAAUUAAACCUAAAGACCUUAUUAGACUCAAAUCACAUAUUUUUGGCAAGAAAAUUGUAUUGUUCAUGCUAUCAAUUGCCUUUUGUGUUAUAUGAGAAGGACCAACUCAGGGAAGAAGUUCAUUGGUACAAACCCCACACCAUGGGACCCCUGGAGGACUAUACCUUAGAAGCAGGGAUGAAAGAGAGACUGCCAUUCCCGUGGUUACAGCUAUUGAAAUGACACCCAUAGAAAACAGAAGAAAAUAAUUAGCUUCCACUCAUUUCCAAACCCAGUACUUUCUGGGACUCAGACUGGCUCUUCUUGCUCCUCUGCUUGCAGACAGCCUGUUGUGGAACCUUGUGAUCAGGUUGGGCUGGAAAAUCCAUUUCUCACGGUUCCAAAGGCUGGGAAGCCAGGGUCAAGGUCCUGCAGAUCCAGUGUCUGGCGAAGCCCUUCUUCCGGGUUUGGAAAUGGCUGCCUUCUCCUUCUAUCCUCACACGGCAGAGAGAGAAAGAGACUGUGAGAAACAGAGGAAGUACUCCAGGGAGUUCUGCAAUGUCUUCUAAAAGGAUGCUAAUCACAUCAUGGGGGCUCCAUCUUUGUGACCUAAUCACUUCCCAAAGGCCCCACAUCCUAAUACCGUCACAUGGGAAGUGAGGGUUUCAACAUGUGAAUUUGUGAGGGGACACAAACAUUCAGUCCAUGGCACUAACAUACCCAACACCAGAAUCUGAGUGGAGAGUUUCAUCUGGGUGAUAUCCCUUCAGUUUGUGUAAAGCCCUGAACUCCACCUCGUCUUUCUCAGCUGCUUUUCCUGUUUUCUCUGCCAUGGUGAUGCUGCUGCCUUCCACUCAAGUUAUGAGAAGACAGGGUCCCACAGUUUACCAUCUGCUUCUGUCACCCGUCUUGAGUUGGUCACAAAUUCCUACUGAUGAUACCACACAAAGGACUCCUGGGCAUGUCGUCUCCUCUCUUGAAAACAUAGGGUCUUAGUCCAGGUCUUCAUUUAUGCAUUCGUCCAACAUUUCCUGUUUUACUUUCUUUCAUGGUGUUCUCCAUGGUGGUGAUUAAAUAAGCUUCCUAAAAUACAGAAAAAAUAAUGUCAUUAUUUGCUUAAAAACUCCCCAUUUCUUCUCCAUUGCUCAUUUUUUAAAUAACACAUUUUUGUUAUUGUGGCAGGAUACGCAUAACAAAAUGACCAUUCUGAGUGCACAGUUCUGGGGUACUGAGUCCAUUCACAUGGUUGUGCAACCAUCACCACCACUCAUCUCUAGAAUGCUUUCCAUCCUUCAAAACCGAAACUUCGUACUCAUUAAACAAUUCCCCACUUCUCUCUCCCCUCAGAACCUGGCAACCACCAUUUAACUUUUUGUCUCUGUGAGUUUGACUAUUCUGGAUAUCUCAUAUAAGUGGAGUCACACGUUGUCUUUUUGUGACUGGUUUAUUUCACUUGGUUUAAUGUCUUAAGGUUCAUCCCUGUUGUGGCACAUUGCUGUGAUUUGAAUGGGUCACCUUGAAAAUCCAGGUGUUAUCAAUGUGGUACUAUUAAGAGGUGGGGGUUUUAGGUGGUGAUUAGAUCAAGAGAGCUCUUCCAUCAUGAGUGAGAUUAGGUGCCCUUAUAAAAGGACUUCAUGAAGGAGUUUGUCCCCCUUUUGCCCUUCUUCCUUUUGCCAUGUAAGAACACAGUGCUCCUCCCUUCUGGAGGCUGCAGCAAUAAGGCCUCCUCUUGGAAGUAGAGAGCCACCCUGAACCAGAUGCUGAAUCUGCUGGCAUCUUGAUCUUGGACUUAUAGCUCCCAGAACUAUAAGAAAUAAAUUUCUGUUCAUUAAUAAUUACCAGUUUUUGGUAUUUUGUCAUAGCAGCGCAAGCAGACCAAGACACAUAUAUAAGGAUUUCUUCCUUUUGAUGGGUGAAUAAUAUUCCAUUGUAUGUGUAGAGUACAUUUCAAUUAUUCUAUCAUCCAUAGGUGGACCUGAGAGGUUGCUUCCAUAUUUUGACUAUUGCAAAUAAUGCUGCUAUGAACAUGAGUAUACAGAUAUUUGGGUCCGUGCUUUCAUUCCUCUUGGGUAUAUACCUAGAAGUAGAAUUUCUGGAUUGUAUGGUAAUUCUAUAUUUAAUAUUUUCAAGAACUGCCACGCUGUUUUCCGCAGCUGCUGCACCAGUUUACCUUCCCACCAACAGUGCUCAAGGGUUUCAAUUUCUCUACAUUCUUGCUAACACUUGUUAUUUUCUGUUACUUAUUUAGUUUUUUAUUUUUGAUAAUAGUCUAAUGAGUGUGAGGUUGUAUCUCAUCGUGGUUUGAUUUCCAUUUUCCAUUAUAACUAGUGAUGUUGAAGAUCUUUUCGGGUAGUUACUGGUCAUUUGUAUAUCUGUCUUGGAGAAAUAUCUAUUCAAGUCCUUUGCCCAUUUUUCG